rnacentral:rRNA from 1 species
GACGAACGCUGGCGGCGUGCCUAAUACAUGCAAGUAGAACGCUGAAGAGAGGAGCUUGCUCUUCUUGGAUGAGUUGCGAACGGGUGAGUAACGCGUAGGUAACCUGCCUUGUAGCGGGGGAUAACUAUUGGAAACGAUAGCUAAUACCGCAUAACAAUGGAUGACACAUGUCAUUUAUUUGAAAGGGGCAAUUGCUCCACUACAAGAUGGACCUGCGUUGUAUUAGCUAGUAGGUGAGGUAAUGGCUCACCUAGGCGACGAUACAUAGCCGACCUGAGAGGGUGAUCGGCCACACUGGGACUGAGACACGGCCCAGACUCCUACGGGAGGCAGCAGUAGGGAAUCUUCGGCAAUGGGGGCAACCCUGACCGAGCAACGCCGCGUGAGUGAAGAAGGUUUUCGGAUCGUAAAGCUCUGUUGUAAGUCAAGAACGGGUGUGAGAGUGGAAAGUUCACACUGUGACGGUAGCUUACCAGAAAGGGACGGCUAACUACGUGCCAGCAGCCGCGGUAAUACGUAGGUCCCGAGCGUUGUCCGGAUUUAUUGGGCGUAAAGCGAGCGCAGGCGGUUUGAUAAGUCUGAAGUUAAGGCUGUGGCUCAACCAUAGUUCGCUUUGGAAACUGUCAAACUUGAGUGCAGAAGGGGAGAGUGGAAUUCCAUGUGUAGCGGUGAAAUGCGUAGAUAUAUGGAGGAACACCGGUGGCGAAAGCGGCUCUCUGGUCUGUAACUGACGCUGAGGCUCGAAAGCGUGGGGAGCGAACAGGAUUAGAUACCCUGGUAGUCCACGCCGUAAACGAUGAGUGCUAGGUGUUGGAUCCUUUCCGGGAUUCAGUGCCGCAGCUAACGCAUUAAGCACUCCGCCUGGGGAGUACGACCGCAAGGUUGAAACUCAAAGGAAUUGACGGGGGCCCGCACAAGCGGUGGAGCAUGUGGUUUAAUUCGAAGCAACGCGAAGAACCUUACCAGGUCUUGACAUCCCGAUGCUAUUUCUAGAGAUAGAAAGUUACUUCGGUACAUCGGUGACAGGUGGUGCAUGGUUGUCGUCAGCUCGUGUCGUGAGAUGUUGGGUUAAGUCCCGCAACGAGCGCAACCCCUAUUGUUAGUUGCCAUCAUUCAGUUGGGCACUCUAGCGAGACUGCCGGUAAUAAACCGGAGGAAGGUGGGGAUGACGUCAAAUCAUCAUGCCCCUUAUGACCUGGGCUACACACGUGCUACAAUGGUUGGUACAACGAGUUGCGAGUCGGUGACGGCGAGCUAAUCUCUUAAAGCCAAUCUCAGUUCGGAUUGUAGGCUGCAACUCGCCUACAUGAAGUCGGAAUCGCUAGUAAUCGCGGAUCAGCACGCCGCGGUGAAUACGUUCCCGGGCCU